rnacentral:lncRNA from 1 species
GUUUUCUAUUAUUCUGCUCACUGGGCUCUUGUAGCUCACCCCUUUCCCUAAUCCCCCAGGAUUGCAGGUACGGGCUAGACAGAGAAGUCAAGAAGAGUAAAGAAGUUUUAUGUAUGUAAUAGUUAGAAUGUGGACAUGACAAAUUGUAUAACGAUGUAUAGAUUUAAAAUGUAAUGAUAUUGAGGUUUAGAAGUGUGCUUGACCAUAGUUAUUGUAAUCCCUUUUUAUUACAUGAUCCUAGAUGUUUAUUGAUGUAUAUGCUUAGCCAACUCAACACAUGUAUAUCGCCCAUUGGGGCAUUGAUGAGAUCCCACAGAGGGGUCAAGUUUAUGAUUAUGGUUAUGUUCAGUGCAUGCACAGGUUGAGUUUGGCGUAUGAUAGAAUGUAUGAAAG